UCCNGGAUUUAUUGGGCGUAAAGCGAGCGCNGGCGGUUAGAUAAGUCUGAAGUUAAAGGCUGUGGCUUAACCAUAGUAUGCUUUGGAAACUGUUUAACUUGAGUGUAGAAGGGGAGAGUGGAAUUCCAUGUGUAGCGGUGAAAUGCGUAGAUAUAUGGAGGAACACCGGUGGCGAAAGCGGCUCUCUGGUCUGUAACUGACGCUGAGGCUCGAAAGCGUGGGGAGCAAACAGGAUUAGAUACCNUGGUAGUCCACGCCGUAAACGAUGAGUGCUAGGUGUUAGGCCCUUUCCGGGGCUUAGUGCCGCAGCUAACGCAUUAAGCACUCCGCCUGGGGAGUACGACCGCAAGGUUGAAACUCAAAGGAAUUGACGGGGGCCCGUACAAGCGGUGGAGCAUGUGGUUUAAUUCGAAGCAACGCGAAGAACCUUACCAGGUCUUGACAUCCCUCUGACCGCUCUAGAGAUAGAGUUUUCCUUCGGGACAGAGGUGACAGGUGGUGCAUGGUUGUCGUCAGCUCGUGUCGUGAGAUGUUGGGUUANNNNNNGCAACGAGCGCAACCCCUAUUGUUAGUUGCCAUCAUUCAGUUGGGCACUCUAGCGAGACUGCCGGUAAUAAACCGGAGGAAGGUGGGGAUGACGUCAAAUCAUCAUGCCCCUUAUGACCUGGGCUACACACGUGCUACAAUGGCUGGUACAACGAGUCGCGAGCCGGUGACGGCAAGCUAAUCUCUGAAAGCCAGUCUCAGUUCGGAUUGUAGGCUGCAACUCGCCUACAUGAAGUCGGAAUCGCUAGUAAUCGCGGAUCAGCACGCCGCGGUGAAUACGUUCCCGGGCCUNG
rnacentral:rRNA from 1 species